GCCAGGCGUGGUGGCGCGCGCCUGUGGUCCCAGCUACUCAGGAGGCUGAGGCAGGAGAAUCGCUUGAACCCGGGAGGCGGAGGUUGCAGUGAGUUGAGAUCGCGCUACUGUACUCCAGCCUGGGUGACAAAGUGGCACGAUCUCAGCUCACUGCAACCUCCGCCUCCUGGGUUCGCGCCAUUCUCCUGCCUCAG
rnacentral:SRP_RNA from 2 species